rnacentral:rRNA from 1 species
GACGUAGGGCGCGAGCGUUGUCCGGAUUUAUUGGGCGUAAAGAGCUCGUAGGCGGCUUGUCGCGUCGUCCGUGAAAACCAGGGGCUCAACCCCUGGCUUGCGGUCGAUACGGGCAGGCUAGAGUUCGGUAGGGGAGACUGGAAUUCCUGGUGUAGCGGUGAAAUGCGUAGAUAUCAGGAGGAAUACCGAUGGCGAAGGCAGGUCUCUGGGCUAUAACUGACGCUCAUGCACGAAAGCGUGGGGAGCAAACAGG